rnacentral:rRNA from 1 species
UUCCGGUUGAUCCUGCCGGACCUGACUGCUAUCGGAUUGAUACUAAGCCAUGCGAGUUUUUGUAGCAAUACAAGGCAUACGGCUCAGUAACACGUAGUCAAUCUAACCUAUGGACGAGGAUAACCUCGGGAAACUGAGAAUAAUACUCGAUAGAUCAUUAUGCCUGGAACGGUUUAUGGUUAAAAUGAAUUUCGCCAUAGGAUGGGACUGCGGUCUAUCAGCUUGUUGGUGAUGUAAUGGACCACCAAGGCUAUAACAGAUACGGGCUCUGAGAGGAGAAGCCCGGAGAUGGGUACUGAAACACGGACCCAGGCCCUAUGGGGCGCAGCAGGCGAGAAAACUUUGCAAUGUGCGAAAGCACGACAAGGUUAAUCCGAGUGAUUCCUGCUAAAGGAAUCUUUUGUUAGUCAUAAAACCACUAAUGAAUAAGGGGUGGGCAAGUUCUGGUGUCAGCCGCCGCGGUAAAACCAGCACCUCAAGUGGUCAGGAUGAUUAUUGGGCCUAAAGCAUCCGUAGCCGGCUUUGUCAGUUUUCGGUUAAAUCCAUAUGCUCAACAUAUGGGCCGCCGGGAAUACUACAAAGCUAGGGAGUGGGAGAGGUAGACGGUACUCCGUAGGAAGGGGUAAAAUCCUUUGAUCUAUGGAUGACCACCUGUGGCGAAGGCGGUCUACCAGAACACGUUCGACGGUGAGGGAUGAAAGCUGGGGGAGCAAACCGGAUUAGAUACCCGGGUAGUCCCAGCUGUAAACUAUGCAAACUCAGUGAUGCAUUGGCUUGUGGCCAGUGCAGUGCCGCAGAGAAGUCGUUAAGUUUGCCGCCUGGGAAGUACGUACGCAAGUAUGAAACUUAAAGGAAUUGGCGGGGGAGCACCACAAGGGGUGAAGCCUGCGGUUCAAUUGGAUUCAACGCCGGGA